AUACUUACCUGGCGCGGGGGAUACCGUGAUCAAGAAGGCGUGCCUCCAGGACGAGGCCUGUACAUUGCACUCCGUAUGGGCUGACUCCU
rnacentral:snRNA from 1 species